rnacentral:rRNA from 1 species
AAUUAAGCUUUUAAAGGAUACCUAGGCUAAAUUUUAAAGGGCGUUAGAAAACGAAAAGUCUUUUUGAAGAUUUUUUAUGAAAAAAGGCUUCCCUAAGCGAAAGUGCAAUCUAUAACUUAGCGAAUUGAAACAUCUUAGUAGCUAAAGAUAAAAAAAAUUAAAAAAGAUUCCUUAAGUAGUGGUGAGCGAAAAAGGAUUUGUGUCAAAUUAGUUUUUUGAAUAAGAAUGUUUUGGAAUAAACAACCUGAGAAAGUGAAAGUCUUGUAUUUUUUCUAAAACUAAUUUUGUAUUUAAGUAAGUUAAUUCAUGAUAUUUUAACUGAAAAUAGGAGAACCACCUUCUAACAUAAUAAUUAAAGAUUUAGACCGAUAGCGCACAAGUACUGUAAAGGAAAGGUGAAAAGUCUUUAAGAAAAGUGAAACAGAUCUUGAAAUUGAAAGCUUUAAAGCAGAUUUACUUUCUAGAAAGGUAAAUCGUACCUUUUGUAUAAUGGGUCAGCAAGUUUAUUUGGAUAGUAAGCUUAAGCUAAUAAGUGGAGGCGUAGUUAAUGCAAACCUUAAAUGGUUAUAAUUAUUCAAAUAAGACCCGAAACUGAGUGAUCUAAUUAUGAGCAGGUUGAAUGUCAUCUAAACAAUGACAGGAAGACCGAACCCGUAUCUGUUGCAUAAGAUUGGGAUGACUUGUGAUUAGGGGUGAAAGGCCAAUCAAACUCAGAGAUAGCUGGUUCUCUGCGAAAUUUAUUUAAGUAAAAAUGUAAACUUUAUUAUACUCGUAAAGGUAGAGCACUUAUUGGCUGAUGGGGGCUUGACGGCCUUACUGAUGUCAGUUAAACUCCGAAUUAAACCAAGUUUAUGUUUACGUGGCAAACUAUAGGUGAUAAGAUCUAUUAGUUUAAAGGGAAACAGCCCAGAUUACAAGCUAAGGCCUUUAAAUGAUGAUUUAGUGGUAAAAGUUUUUUUGCAUUAUGUCAGCCAGGAAGUGGGCCUAGAGGCAGCCAUCUUUUAAAGAAAGCGUAACAGCUCACUGGUCAAAAAUUUAGAUGCAAUUAACCUUAAAAUUCAAUUAGACUCAAAUCAUAGCUGCCGAAGCUGUAAAACAAAUAAUUUUGUUGGUAGCAGAGCUUCUUGUAUGAUAGUAUACCCUUGUUAAAGGUUCUUAAAAUCAAGUUUGAAAAUGCUGACAUGAGUAACCUAAUAUAAUUUAAAAAAAUUAUAACUGUAAAUUUAAGGUUUCCUACGGUCGGAUGAUUCUCGUAGGGUUAAUCGGCUCCUAAGAUUUAAUAUGAAAAUAUUAUUCGAUGGAAAGAAUAUUAAUAUUUAUUCAUCUGUUUUAUAAAAAGCGACGGAAAACUUACAUUGUUGAUUCUUCAAGUUUAUAGAUUUACUUAUUUAACUAAAGUUUUUCCUAGAAAAAGCUAAAACAGAAAGACCGUACCUUAAACCGACACUGGUAAAUUAGUAGAAAAUAUUAAAGUUUUGGGGGAAUAGUAUUGAAGGAACUCGGCAAAUUGACUUCGUAACUUCGGGAGAAGAAGGGCUUACUUUGAAAAAAAUAAGCAUAAAAAAAGAGGGGAUAGCGACUGUUUAUUAAAAACACAGGACUCUGCUAAAUCGUAAGAUGAUGUAUAGGGUCUGACACCUGCCCGGUGUUGAUAAAUGAAAGUCAAAAGUUUUAAAGCUUUUGAUAUAAGUUCCAGCAAACGGCGGCUGUAACCAUAACGGUCCUAAGGUAGCGAAAUUCCUUGUCAGGUAAGUUCUGACCUGCAUGAAUGGUGUAACGACUUUCCCACUGUCUCCAAUACUAACCUAGUGAAAGUGAAUUCUCUGUUAAGAUGCAGCGUAGCGACGGCUAGACGGAAAGACCCUGUGCACCUUUACUAUAUUUUUAUAUUGCUUUUGUAACAUCUUUGUAUAGGAUAAUUGUUAGCCGUUAUUAAAAACCCUUAGCGCCAGCUAAUUGGUAAGGCACCCUUGGAAUAGCAAUCUUUGAUUUUACAUUAGCUAAAUUUAUUUAAAAAUUAAAUUACAAUAUAUGAAAGGUAGUUUAACUGGGGCGGUUACCUCCUAAAAAGUAACGGAGGCGCGCGAAGGUAAAUAAGAUUUGAUUUAAUUAAAUCUUUAGCUUAAUGGCUUAAAUUUGCCUGAUUGUAAAACCUACAGGUUGAACAAAGACGAAAGUCUGUCAUAGUGAUCCAAUAAAAUAUUGUGGAAUAAUUAUUGCUCAACGGAUAAAAGGUACGCCAGGGAUAACAGGCUUAUGACUCUUUAGAGUUCCUAUCGAUAGAGUCGUUUGGCACCUCGAUGUCGACUUAUCGCAUCCUGGAGCUGAAGUAGGUUCCAAGGGUUCGGCUGUUCGCCGAUUAAAGCGGUACAUGAGUUGGGUUUAGAACGUCGUGAGACAGUUUGGUCCCUAUCUACCGUCGCGUUAAGAAACAAAAAAGAACUCAAUCCUAUUACGAGAGGACCGGAAAGUGUACACCUAUGGUGGUUCAAUUGCUGUUAUCUACUGCAUUGUUGAGUAGCCACGUGUAUUUUUAGAACUGCUGAAAGCAUAUAAGCAGGAAAAUAAUCUUUUGAGUUUCUUGAAAAAAAGCAGUAGACUACUGCUUAAAUAGGUUUAAAAUAUAAUGCUAGUGAUAGUAAAGUUUUUAAAUACUAAAUUUUUAACCAAAAAAAAAUU